rnacentral:pre_miRNA from 14 species
UCUUCAGGGUCUGGGGUGGACACGAAUAUCCCAGAUGAGCCCCCAAAUGAAAGAUUCCUGAAGAGAUACCCUUACUCAAGUCUCGGGAAAUCACGGACACCAGACACAAAGAGACCA